rnacentral:rRNA from 1 species
UACGGAGGGUGCAAGCGUUAAUCGGAAUUACUGGGCGUAAAGCGCAUGCAGGUGGCUGAGUCAGUCGAUUGUGAAAGCCCUGGCUUAACCUGGGAAUUGCAGUCGAUACUACUCAGCUAGAGUAUGGGAGAGGGUAGUGGAAUUCCCGGUGUAGCAGUGAAAUGCGUAGAUAUCUGGAGGAAUACCGGUGGCGAAGGCGGCAUCCUGGACCGACAUUGACGCUGAUGAGCGAAAGCUAAGGGGAGCAACGGGGAUUAAGAA